rnacentral:rRNA from 1 species
AACGAACGCUGGCGGCAUGCCUAACACAUGCAAGUUGAACGCAGAAUAGGGCUUCGGCUCUAUUGCUGAGUAGCAAACGGGUGAGUAACGCGUGGGAAUCUACCUUCUUGUGGGGGAUAACUAAGGGAAACUUUAGCUAAUACCGCAUACGCUCUACGGAGGAAAGGCUUCGGCCGCAAGAAGAGGAGCCCGCGUCAGAUUAGGUAGUUGGUGGGGUAAAAGCCUACCAAGCCAAUGAUCUGUAGCUGGUCUGAGAGGAUGAUCAGCCACACUGGGACUGAGACACGGCCCAGACUCCUACGGGAGGCAGCAGUGGGGAAUAUUGGACAAUGGGGGAAACCCUGAUCCAGCAAUGCCGCGUGAAUGAAGAAGGCCUUAGGGUUGUAAAGUUCUUUCACCUGUGAAGAUUAUGACGGUAGCAGGAGAAGAAGCCCCGGCUAACUCCGUGCCAGCCGCCGCCGUAA